rnacentral:rRNA from 1 species
UGGGGAAUAUUGCACAAUGGGGGAAACCCUGAUGCAGCGACGCCGCGUGAACGAAGAAGGUAUUCGUAUCGUAAAGUUCUGUCCUAUGGGAAGAUAAUGACAGUACCAUAGAAGAAAGCUCCGGCUAAAUACGUGCCAGCAGCCGCGGUAAUACGUAUGGAGCGAGCGUUGUCCGGAAUUAUUGGGCGUAAAGGGUACGCAGGCGGUUUAAUAAGUCGAAUGUUAAAGACCGGGGCUCAACCCCGCAAAGCAUUGGAAACUGAUAAACUUGAGUAGUGGAGAGGAAAGUGGAAUUCCUAGUGUAGUGGUGAAAUACGUAGAUAUUAGGAGGAAUACCAGUAGCGAAGGCGACUUUCUGGACACAAACUGACGCUGAGGUACGAAAGCGUGGGGAGCAAACAGG